UUUUGGCUGCCCACAACUUUCACUCCGAACGAAAAUAAACUGGUUUGUCCAAGAGCAGCGGUGAUUUCCCAUGGAGCGGGCUUAAAUAACACUUCGACAAGGUUUCGGGUUUCCAGGCUGGUCUUGGUUUUUAAGAGCACGGCCGUGUUGUGUCGUGAAACGUGAGUUUUGCUGGAAAGUUUGGUGUUAAAGCCCAUCCGGAGACAGUAAUGCUGAGAGAAAACGCUGAGAAAACAAGCUGUUAGGGGGAAAAGCUCUGGUUUUCCUGAGUCAGGUGAAUAAUUUAGUGAAGGAGAAGAAGAAGGAGAAGAAGAAGAAGGCAGAAAUAAACGUCAAGCUGGAAUAUAAAGGGAAUGUCUAACCCAGGGGCGAGGAGAAACGGUCCAGUGAAACUGCGGCUCACAGUUCUCUGUGCAAAGAACUUGUCAAAGAAGGACUUCUUCAGACUGCCAGACCCCUUUGCUAAAGUAGUGGUGGAUGGUUCUGGUCAGUGCCACUCGACAGACACGGUCAGGAACACACUGGACCCGAAGUGGAACCAACACUAUGAUCUUUAUAUUGGUAAGCUGGACUCAAUCACCAUCAGUGUAUGGAACCAUAAGAAGAUUCAUAAGAAGCAGGGAGCAGGGUUUCUGGGCUGUGUGCGUCUCCUCUCCAAUGUCAUCAACCGCCUCAAAGACACUGGCUAUCAGAAGCUGGACCUGAACAAGCUCGGGCCAAACAAUAAUGACACCAUCAGAGGGCAGAUAGUGGUGAGCUUACAGUCCACAGACAGGAUAGGAACAGGAGGCCCCUUGGUGGACUGCAGCCGUCUGUUUGACAACGAUUUACCAGAUGGCUGGGAGGAGAGGAGAACUGCAACAGGCAGGAUUCAGUAUCUCAAUCACAUCACACGGACGACGCAGUGGGAAAGACCAACCAGGCCCGCCUCGGAGUACGCGAGUGCCGGUCGGCCCCUCAGCUGCCUGUUGGAUGAGAACACUCCCAUCCUGAGUUCUAAUGGAGCCUCCAGCGUCACACAAACCAACUCCAGAGCUGGAGAGAGACGUGUCCGCUCCCAGAGACACAGAAACUACAUGAGCAGAACACACUUGCACACACCUGCUGAUCUACCUGAGGGAUACGAGCAGAGAACCACACAACAAGGCCAGGUCUACUUCCUCCACACACAGACCGGGGUGAGCACAUGGCAUGACCCGCGUGUGCCCAGGGAUCUCAGCAAUGUGAACUGUGAGGAGCUCGGGCCACUCCCACCAGGCUGGGAGAUUCGAAACACAGCCACCGGCCGAGUGUACUUUGUGGACCACAAUAAUAGAACCACACAGUUCACAGACCCACGUCUGUCGGCCAACCUGCACCGAGUCCUCAAUCCAAAUGGAUCUCGUGGUGUGGAGAAUCCAAACCUCAGUCAUGCUCCCGAGCUGAAGGAGCAGCCUGUGCUGUGUAAUCUCCCCGAGGAAGCUGAAGAGUGUUUAACUGCUCCCAAGUAUAAGCGGGAUCUGGUGCACAAGCUGAAGGUGUUGAGGCAGGAGUUGUCUCAGCAGCAACCACAGGCUGGCCAUUGUCGCAUCGAGCUUUGCAGAGAUGAGAUCUUUGAGGAGUCGUAUCGGCAGGUUAUGAAGAUGAGGCAGAAGGACUUAUGGAAGAGGCUGAUGGUGAAGUUCAGAGGAGAGGAGGGGCUUGAUUACGGAGGCGUGGCCAGAGAAUGGCUGUACUUGUUAUCCCACGAGAUGCUCAACCCGUACUACGGCCUGUUCCAGUAUUCACGUGACGACAUCUACACGCUUCAGAUCAACCCCGAUUCUGCCGUUAACCCGGAGCACCUGUCCUAUUUCCACUUUGUGGGCCGGAUCAUGGGCAUGGCGGUGUUUCAUGGCCAUUACAUCGACGGAGGAUUCACUCUUCCCUUCUAUAAACAGUUACUAGGCAAAUCCAUCACACUUGAUGACAUGGAGGCCGUGGACCCGGAUCUGCACAACAGCCUCAUCUGGAUCCUGGAAAAUGACAUCACAGGUGUACUGGACCACACAUUCUGUGUGGAACACAGCGCUUACGGACAGAUCAUCCAGCACGAGCUUAAACCCAAUGGCAAGAACAUCCCAGUCACUGAGGAAACCAAGAAAGAGUACGUCAGGCUGUACGUGAACUGGCGCUUCCUACAUGGGAUCGAAGCUCAGUUUCUGGCUCUGCAGAAAGGCUUUAACGAGGUCAUACCACAGCACCUACUCAAGGCCUUUGAUGAGAAGGAACUGGAGCUGAUCGUGUGUGGCCUGGGGAAGAUCGACAUCCAGGACUGGAGGGUGAACACGCGCCUGAAGCACUGCACAGCCGAUAGCAGUGUGGUGAAGUGGUUCUGGAAAGCCGUUGAGUCGUUUGAUGAGGAGCGCAGAGCCAGACUGCUGCAGUUCGUCACCGGCUCAUCUCGAGUGCCUCUGCAAGGCUUCAAGGCCUUACAGGGUGCUGCAGGGCCCAGACAGUUCACCAUCCAGCAAAUCGAUGCCAGCACCAACAACCUGCCUAAAGCCCACACAUGUUUUAACCGCGUCGACAUUCCUCCCUACGAGAACUACGACAAACUCUACGACAAGCUGCUGACUGCGAUUGAGGAGACCUGCGGCUUUGCCGUCGAAUGAGGAACACCGACACGCACCCCAUCGGCAAUCUGGAGUGUCCAACGUUGUCAUGGUGUCACUGCAAGCGUGGAGAUUAUAUUACAUGACAAAUACAGCAGGAAGAGGGAAUGAAUGCAACCACGUGGUUACACUUUGUUGUUAACCAUGGUGCUUUUUUGGUUAAUCCAUUUAUCUUCACUCAGCUGCUUUCACCGGAUCUACGAGUUGUUAGAUUUAAUCCAGAAGUCUUCUCUUGGCUUCAAUGAAAUUAGAAAUGAGGAUUUUUACCUCUACUGUGUAAAAUAAAAAGUCUGUAAUGAAGGCAGGGUAACAUUUCCACCCCACCCCCCAAAUCAUGGAGGUCUUCCUGACAGCAGCAUUGCUCAGGUUCAUUUCUAAAAUCUUCUUGGUUGUAAUGAGAACCUCGUAUUAAAAUAAGUUCAAAAAUACUGACCUAUGAAGUCUUCUGACCAUAGACAUGCAUACUAUCAGUCAGUCAGUCAGUCCAGCACCAUGUAGUCCCCAAUUUAUAUUUUUCUUUCAGUUCAAACUAACAACUCCAAUUCCAAAAAAGUUGGGAUGCUGUAUGAACAAAAUCCUAUAUUUCAUUGAAAAUAGUACAAAACACCAAAUGCUGAAACAAAAAGUUAUUGUUUUUUGAAAAAUAUAUGCUCAUUUUGAAUUUGAGGUCAGCAACACGUUUCAAAAAAAGAUGGGACAGGAGCAUGUUUACCAUUGUGUUGCAUCACCUCUACUUUUAACAACACUAUAAAUAAUGUUUGGGAACUGAGGAGACCAGUUGCUAUAGUUUUGAAAGAAAGAGGAAUGUUGUCCCAUUCUUGCCGGAUAUACAAUUUCAGUUGCUCAACAGUUCAGGGUCUCGUUUGUCAUGUUUCAUAAAUGUGCCAAAUGUUUUAAAAUGGGAGACAGUCCUGGACUGCAGGCAGGCCAGUUUAGCACCUGGGCUCCUACUACGGAACCAUGCAGUUUUAAUAUGCGCAGAAAGCGGUUUGACAUUGUCCUACUGAAAGAAGGAAGGUCUUCCCUGAAAAAGAUUUUGUCUGGAUGGCAGCAUAUUGGUCUGAAAUGUGCAUCUCGUUCAGCAUUAAUGAUGCCUUCCCAGAUGUACAAGCUGCCCAUGUCAUGUGCACUAAUGCAGGUGUUUCUCAGCCAUUGGGCCAAGAAUCCCCAUCCCCAAGUUGAAACCAAUUUUUUUUACUUGUAGUAGGGUACAACUGCUGGGUCACAUCCGCCUCAUUAAGCUACAGUCACGCUACAGCCCACGACGCUUUGCGAUGGGUUAUCGAUGAAAAUGAGGCAUUUUAGUGGUGAUGCAUGCCGAUAGACAUGUAAAAGUUGUGCUCACACAGCAGGUGAACACUUGACUGUCACACCUUUGCACACUUGAGUCUGGCGCACGCUCUUGGGAACCAGUCGCUGUGGAAAAACACCCGAUACUGAUUUGAGCACAACCAGCACAUGUAAAUACGGACACUUUGCCAAGUAUCAUCAUUCACAGUCACGUUUGUUUCUAACCAUUUUUAUAAGGCUGUUUUAAAUACUCCACUUUAUGACAUUGCUUUCGGUUUUCGUUUGCAUAAAUAUCACACCUGCUAACACGCGCUAUUCCUGCACUUAGAGCCGUCUACCGCUGUCCAUCUUGUAGUGUCUUGAUCCCCAGAUUGUUAACCAGCCACAUAUUUAAAAAAAAAUAAAUAAAUUUGUACACCUCCAUGUUCUUCCAGGUUUUCGUCCGUGUAGAACGAUGUCUGCAGCACCAGGUAGUUUGAGAUGUUGAACUCAACAGAUGGAUAAUUUUCCAAUUCGUAGGAAAAAGCCACCUUCGUUACCGUGUAAGGUUCUAUCCCACAGAGUGGCUUCUAUAUCCACUUCUUUUGAGUAUUUCUUGGUUUUCAUAACUCGCUUGUUUGCUGUACACAAACAUGGCAGUAAGUUCUUGUGUUAAAUCAACCAGACUCCACUUUUGGAUAUUUAAUCCCUUGUGGCUGAGAAUGCCCUGCAUGCAUGGUUGGGCUUCUGGCACAUCCAUACAGUUUUUUAAAUACAAUACCUACAAUUAAAAACAGUUUCAUUGCAUUUAUUUAAUUCCUUGGCUCCCAUCUGUCACAGGGCAUCUGCAUCCCAUUAAUACGCUUUACAAUAGAUUAUUAAAUUCUAAUAGAAUAUCCAUCAAUUAUCCGUAACCACUUAUCCUGUGCAGGGUCACGGGCAAGCUAGAGCCUAUCCCAGCUGACUAUGGGCGAGAGGCAGGGAACACCCUGGAUAAGCUGCCAGAUCAUCACAGGGCUGACACAGAGACAACCAUUCAUACUCACAUUUCACACCUACGGUCAAUUCAGAGCCACCAGUUAGCCUAACCUGCAUGUCUUUGGACUGUGGGGGAAACCGGAUCACCUGGAGGAAACCCACACAGACAUGGGGAGAACAUGCAAACUCCACACAAAGGCCCCCCAUCGGCCACUCGGCUCGAACCCAGAACCUUCUUGCCGUGAGGCAGCAGUGCUAACCACUACACCACCAUGCCACGCUAUUCUAAUAGAAUAGAGGAGCCAAAAUAAUUGGGGAUCUUUUUUUAAUGAGCCUCGACUUGUUACAAGUACGAGUAGGUGGGUCUCAAAGCAGAAAAGGUUGAGAACCCCUGCACUAAUGCACCCUCAUACCAUCACAGAUGCUGCUUUUGAACUGUGCACUGAUAAGCCAGAUGGUCCCUCUCCUCUUUAGCCUGGAGGAUGUGGUGUCCAUGAUUUCUAAAAAGAAUUUCUACUUUUGAUUCGUCAGCCCUCAGGACAGUUUUCUACUUCGCCUCAGUCUAUCGUAAAGGGGCUCAGGCCAAGAGAAAACAGCAGGGUUUCUGGAGAUUUUUUUUUUUUGUAAUAUUAUAUAAAUCGCUUUAACUUGCAUUUUGUGGAUGCAGUAAUUAACUUUUCACAGACGAUGGUUUUCUGAAGUGUUCCUGAGCUCAUACAGCGAUUUCCAUUACAGACACGUGUCUGCUUUUAAUGCAGUGUCUCCUGAGGACCUGAAGAUCACAGGCAUCCAGUGUCAGUUUUCAGCCUUGUCUCUUGCAUACAGAGAUUUCUCCAGAUUCUCGGACUCUUUUAAAUGAUAUGCACCAUAGAUGAUGUGAUCCCCAAGUUCUUUGCAAUUUUACAUUGAGGAACAUUAUUCUUAAAACUUGUUGCACUGUUUGCCCACGCAGUCUUUCACAGAGCAGUGAACCCCUCCCCAUCUUUACUUCUGAGAGACUCCGCCUCUCUGGGGUGCUCUUCUUAUACCCAGUCGUCUUACUGAUCUGUUGCCAAUUAACCUAAUUAGUUUGUUUUUUUUAAGCAUUACACACCCUUUUCAGUCUUUUGUAGCCCUGGUCACAACUUUUUUUGAAACGUCUUGCUGACACAUUCAAAAUGAGCACAUUUUUCAAAAAACAAGAAAAUCUCAGUUUCAACAUCUGAUGUGUUGUCUUUGUACUAUUUUCAAUGAAAUACGACUUGCAAAUCUUCACAUUCUAUUUUUGUUUUAUACAGCAUCCCAACUUUUUUGGAGUUGUAAAAGUCAACUGCAUUCAUAUUUUAAUAACAAUGUAAGUAGCUAACAGUGUUUGCAGAGAAAACUGGCUAGCUCGUUUAGCUAACGAUCCAUUGAAUAACGUUUACCUUAUCUUCAUUGACGCACGUUUUUUUUUUUUUUACAGCAUAGCAGUAUGAAGGAGGACCAGUAUGAUCACAUACCAGGGGACGUCAGCCAUCUAAGACUCGUGUCAGUCAGCGGAGCAAUGUUUGGAGUCUGACGUUUGCUUCUUCAGUGUUGGACUGGUUCUGCAAAUCUAAUGAAGACUUGUAUCCAAGAACUGCUGCUGUAAUCAUAAAUACUGUCCCGUGCUCAUCCUAGGACUCUUCUACAUCUGUAUACUGUAAUAAGUUGUAACCUUGGUAUCCUGUGUCAGAGUCUGGUUCCACUGAAAAUAUAUUCAUGUUGUCUCAGGGAGUUUUUCCUUGCCACUGUUGUCUUUGGCUUGUUCAUGUAAAUCUACAACCGGAUUGCUGUAAAGCUGCUUUGGUGACCAUGUCUAUUGUUGAACGUGCUAUACAAAUAAAACCGAAUUUAAUUUCAUGUAGCUCAUAAGUAAUGGACUGGGGUCUCACCGAAAAAUCAAACAAACAAUGCCCAGAUCUUCACAUUUGCUUCAAAAUAUCAUGAAGCUAAUUAUUCAAAUAACAGGAUUGGUUACAGAUUUAUGUACAAAGCAAAAAUACUUUAUCCAUCUGUCUACAAUUCCAAAUUCAAACUCAGGAAAAAAAGUUAUUUUAUUCUGUAUCCAAGUUGGCUGCCCCAUAAUUCUACAGUCACCAUCUUGACAGUCAAAACAUUGUCAUCUAUAAAUAUUCAAAAAAAAAAAAAAAGUCACACUGUUCGAAACCACAUCUGCUGGGUUUACAGAUUUUUUUUUAUUUUUUAAAGGUUUUGGGUGAGCUAGACUAUUACUUAUUAGCUAGAUCAAUUGUAGCUCGAGUGCAAAAGCAACGAAGCAAACGUCAGGCAACAAACACGUCUCCGCUGACUGGCUACGUUUAGGAAAAAAAAAAUCUGUAUUUGGGUUUGCAAGUAUAUACACAUUUCACCGAAUCUUUGCUUGAAGUUAAUGCAUCAUGUAUAUAACAUGCUUUUUAACCUUUUAUAUGACUAGAGCUUAUAACAUUUGUCCUUUUUUGUAGCAUCGAUACUCCCAAGGUUAUAUUUAAUCCAUAUAUGUUCGAAAAACCUUAAGUAUGCUCAUAAGGGUGCCUUAUAAAGUAUGAAGUAUAAAUUUUGUUUUUUAUAUUAACGCUGGUGAGUGCUUCGAAAAGGUUUCAUAAUGCAUUUAAAAAUCCUCAGAUUUUUUACGUUUUUCAAAUAACCAACCAUCUGUUUGUUCAGUAUUGUUAUUUAGAAUUAUGCAAUUAUUGCCACCAUGAACGGAAGCCAAGUUCACGCAGUUUGGACAAUCUGCGCCCUCACGUCACAGCAGUUGCCUUUCUAGCAUUUUUCACUUUAUCUGGGUUUGGUGUGAUGUUUGAAUCAGUGUUUUGGAUGCGUGUGCACACACGCUUCAGUAUGUACAGCGCGUGUGUUUGUAAAUAAGCUUGUUGAGUAUUUCACUUUUCGUUUCAUUUGUAUUUAUUGCUGCAGCUGUUCUGCGAGCUCAUUAUCUGUCUGUACAUAAGAGGGCAUGCAGAGAGAGAGUGUGUUCCUGCUGGACGCCUCCAAACACAAGCAAUAAAGUCUGAGCUGUUCGCCUCGGCAGCGUUUUGGUUUAACAGCA